ensembl:lncRNA
GGGGAAGGGUCAGCAUAUACAGUGUUCAGGAGACCAAGAGGGGACAGGUUAGGAGGGGAAGGGUCAGCAUAUACAGUGUUCAGGAGACCAAGAGGGGACAGGUUAGGAGGGGAAGGGUCAGCAUAUACAGUGUUCAGGAGACCAAGAGGGGAAGGGUCAGCAUAUACAGUGUUCAGGAGACCAAGAGGGGAAGGGUCAGCAUAUACAGUGUUCAGGAGACCAAGAGGGGAAGGGUCAGCAUAUACAGUGUUCAGGAGACCAAGAGGGGACAGGUUAGGAGGGGAAGGGUCAGCAUAUACAGUGUUCAGGAGACCAAGAGGGGACAGGUUAGGAGGGGAAGGGUCAGUAUAUACAGUGUUCAGGAGACCAAGAGGGGAAGGGUCAGCAUAUACAGUGUUCAGG